GGGGAACUCUACCCGGCGUUUUGCAGAAUCCGCUAUUGGUGCCCCUCCUGAGAGGAAGAAACAGUAACAAGGACUGAGUUAGUGGGGCCCCGGGCCCCAUACAAAAUGGGACAACAUUUUCCUUUCAUAACUCCGGCAAUUGGUCCUCUCAGUUCCCAAAGGGUUACAGAGCGUUGCUGAAAGAACACCGUUGGAAACGAGCCCCUGCCUCCCCUCAUGUUGUGGGCAUUCAUGUCAAAAUGAAAAGACAUUUUUGGGAAAGCAGUAAAAUUUCUCAUUUCAGCAUU